CUCAACGCGUUUUUUCUCCUCCUCACAUUCAUUUACUCUAUCACUCAACUCUGCACCUCUCUUAGCAAGCAUACCCCUUUUAUCCUAUCCAUUCCUUCAAAACCCUUAUUCCUUUCAAAGCUUGAACAAUGGAUCCAGAUUCAGUGCAAUUUUUUCUCAAGAGUCAUUUUUUUCCUUCUACUUUAUAAGGUUUUUAUCAUGGAUGAAAACAACAAAAAGAAAUGUGAAAUGCGGCGAUGUGAGAGGCUUCCUCAAAGAGAUUUGACGAUGAAGUCCUUGUUUGGGGGAGUUUUCAUAUCUUUAAGAGCGCAUAGGGUUUUCAGUUUCGGUAGGAAGACCGAAGAAGAGUGGGAGACGGUAGGUUAUGAAUCAAUUGUCAAUUAUACGUUUUGGAUUGGGGAUAAAUGA